GGGGAAUAUUGGACAAUGGGGGCAACCCUGAUCCAGCGACGCCGCGUGUGUGAAGAAGGCCUGCGGGUUGUAAAGCACUUUUAGUGGGGAGAAAAAGCUACGGGCCAAUACCCUGUGGUCUUGAUUUAACCCAAAGAAAAAGCACCGGCUAACUCUGUGCCAGCAGCCGCGGUAAUACAGAGGGUGCAAGCGUUAAUCGGAAUUACUGGGCGUAAAGCGUGCGUAGACGGUCAUUUAAGUCGGGUGUGAAAUCCCCGGGCUCAACCUGGGAAUUGCAUUCGAUACUGGAUGGCUAGGGUGCGGAAGAGGGAAGCGGAAUUUCCGGUGUAGCGGUGAAAUGCGUAGAUAUCGGAAGGAACACCAGUGGCGAAAGCGGCUUCCUGGUCCAGCACCGACGUUCAGGCACGAAAGCGUGGGGAGCAAAC
rnacentral:rRNA from 1 species